UACAGAGGUCUCAAGCGUUGUUCGGAUUCAUUGGGCGUAAAGGGUGCGUAGGCGGCGCGGUAAGUCGGGUGUGAAAUCUCGGAGCUUAACUCCGAAACUGCAUUCGAUACUGCCGUGCUUGAGGACUGGAGAGGAGACUGGAAUUUACGGUGUAGCGGUGAAAUGCGUAGAUAUCAGGAGGAAUACCGAUGGCGAAGGCAGGUCUCUGGGCUGAUACUGACGCUCAUGCACGAAAGCGUGGGGAGCAAACAGG
rnacentral:rRNA from 1 species